UGAGGGAAGCAGCGAUAAGAUGGCGCUU
rnacentral:piRNA from 1 species